rnacentral:piRNA from 1 species
ACAAGGAAACUGCAGGGAAAUUGCCUU